rnacentral:rRNA from 1 species
AGAGUUUGAUCCUGGCUCAGAUUGAACGUUGGCGGCAGGCCUAAUACAUGCAAGUCGAGCGGUAACAGAUCGCUAGGAUCCCUUCGGGGUGACUUUGAUGCUGACGAGCGGCGGACGGGUGAGUAACGCGUAGGAAUCUACCCAGUAGAGGGGGAUAGCCCGGGGAAACCCGGAUUAAUACCGCAUAAUCUCUAAGGAGAAAAGUGGGCUCUCUUCUUGAAAGCUUUCGCGAUAAGAUGAACCCAAGCGGGAUUAGCUUGUUGGUGAGGUAACGGCUCACCAAGGCGACGAUCUCUAGCUGGUCUGAGAGGAUGAUCAGUCACACUGGAACUGAGACACGGUCCAGACUCCUACGGGAGGCAGCAGUGGGGAAUAUUGCACAAUGGGCGAAAGCCUGAUGCAGCCAUGCCGCGUGUGUGAAGAAGGCCUUCGGGUUGUAAAGCACUUUCAGCGAGGAGGAAAGGUUGUGUGUUAAUAGCACAUAGCUGUGACGUUACUCGCAGAAGAAGCACCGCUAACUUCGUGCCAGCAGCCGCGGCAAUACGAGGGGUGCAAGCGUUAAUCGGAAUUACUGGGCGUAAAGCGUACGCAGGCGGUUUGUUAAGCCAGAUGUGAAAGCCCCGGGCUCAACCUGGGAAUUGCAUUUGGAACUGGCAGGCUAGAGUCUUGUAGAGGGGGGUAGAAUUUCAGGUGUAGCGGUGAAAUGCGUAGAGAUCUGAAGGAACAUCAGUGGCGAAGGCGACACUCUGGACCAAUACUGACGCUGAGUACGAAAGCGUGGGGAGCAAACAGGAUUAGAUACCCUGGUAGUCCACGCCGUAAACGAUGUCUACUCGGAAUUUGGUAACUUAGUUACUGGGUUCCCAAGCUAACGCAUUAAGUAGACCGCCUGGGGAGUACGGCCGCAAGGUUAAAACUCAAAUGAAUUGACGGGGGCCCGCACAAGCGGUGGAGCAUGUGGUUUAAUUCGAUGCAACGCGAAGAACCUUACCUGGUCUUGACAUCCACAGAACUUUCUAGAGAUAAUUGGUGCCUUCGGGAACUGUGAGACAGGUGCUGCAUGGCUGUCGUCAGCUCGUGUUGUGAAAUGUUGGGUUAAGUCCCGUAACGAGCGCAACCCUUGUCCUUAUUUGCCAGCACGUAAUGGUGGGAACUUUAAGGAGACUGCCGGUUACAAACCGGAGGAAGGUGGGGACGACGUCAAGUCAUCAUGGCCCUUACGACCAGGGCUACACACGUGCUACAAUGGUAAGUACAAAGGGACGCCAAACCGCGAGGUGGAGCUAAUCCCACAAGCUUAUCGUAGUCCGGAUUGGAGUCUGCAACUCGACUCCAAGAAGUCGGAAUCGCUAGUAAUCGUGAAUCAGAAUGUCCCGGUGAAUACGUUCCCGGGCCUUGUACACACCGCCCGUCACACCAUGGGAGUGGAUUGCACCAGAAGUAGGUAGCUUAACCUUCGGGGGAGCGCUUUUACCACGGUGUGGUUCAUGACUGGGGUGAAGUCGUAACAAGGUAACC